AACACUAACUGGAGGACCGAACCGACUAAUGUUGAAAAAUUAGCGGAUGACUUGUGGCUGGGGGUGAAAGGCCAAUCAAACCGGGAGAUAGCUGGUUCUCCCCGAAAGCUAUUUAGGUAGCGCCUCGUGAAUUCAUCUCCGGGGGUAGAGCACUGUUUCGGCAAGGGGGUCAUCCCGACUUACCAACCCGAUGCAAACUGCGAAUACCGGAGAAUGUUAUCACGGGAGACACACGGCGGGUGCUAACGUCCGUCGUGAAGAGGGAAACAACCCAGACCGCCAGCUAAGGUCCCAAAGUCAUGGUUAAGUGGGAAACGAUGUGGGAAGGCCCAGACAGCCAGGAUGUUGGCUUAGAAGCAGCCAUCAUUUAAAGAAAGCGUAAUAGCUCACUGGUCGAGUCGGCCUGCGCGGAAGAUGUAACGGGGCUAAACCAUGCACCGAAGCUGCGGCAGCGACGCUUAUGCGUUGUUGGGUAGGGGAGCGUUCUGUAAGCCUGCGAAGGUGUGCUGUGAGGCAUGCUGGAGGUAUCAGAAGUGCGAAUGCUGACAUAAGUAACGAUAAAGCGGGUGAAAAGCCCGCUCGCCGGAAGACCAAGGGUUCCUGUCCAACGUUAAUCGGGGCAGGGUGAGUCGACCCCUAAGGCGAGGCCGAAAGGCGUAGUCGAUGGGAAACAGGUUAAUAUUCCUGUACUUGGUGUUACUGCGAAGGGGGGACGGAGAAGGCUAUGUUGGCCGGGCGACGGUUGUCCCGGUUUAAGCGUGUAGGCUGGUUUUCCAGGCAAAUCCGGAAAAUCAAGGCUGAGGCGUGAUGACGAGGCACUACGGUGCUGAAGCAACAAAUGCCCUGCUUCCAGGAAAAGCCUCUAAGCAUCAGGUAACAUCAAAUCGUACCCCAAACCGACACAGGUGGUCAGGUAGAGAAUACCAAGGCGCUUGAGAGAACUCGGGUGAAGGAACUAGGCAAAAUGGUGCCGUAACUUCGGGAGAAGGCACGCUGAUAUGUAGGUGAAGUCCCUCGCGGAUGGAGCUGAAAUCAGUCGAAGAUACCAGCUGGCUGCAACUGUUUAUUAAAAACACAGCACUGUGCAAACACGAAAGUGGACGUAUACGGUGUGACGCCUGCCCGGUGCCGGAAGGUUAAUUGAUGGGGUCAGCGCAAGCGAAGCUCUUGAUCGAAGCCCCGGUAAACGGCGGCCGUAACUAUAACGGUCCUAAGGUAGCGAAAUUCCUUGUCGGGUGGCGUAAUGAUGGCCAGGCUGUCUCCACCCGAGACUCAGUGAAAUUGAACUCGCUGUGAAGAUGCAGUGUACCCGCGGCAAGACGGAAAGACCCCGUGAACCUUUACUAUAGCUUGACACUGAACAUUGAGCCUUGAUGUGUAGGAUAGGUGGGAGGCUUUGAAGUGUGGACGCCAGUCUGCAUGGAGCCGACCUUGAAAUACCACCCUUUAAUGUUUGAUGUUCUAACGUGGACCCGUAAUCCGGGUUGCGGACAGUGUCUGGUGGGUAGUUUGACUGGGGCGGUCUCCUCCUAAAGAGUAACGGAGGAGCACGAAGGUUGGCUAAUCCUGGUCGGACAUCAGGAGGUUAGUGCAAUGGCAUAAGCCAGNNNNNNNNNNUGGGUAGUUUGACUGGGGCGGUCUCCUCCUAAAGAGUAACGGAGGAGCACGAAGGUUGGCUAAUCCUGGUCGGACAUCAGGAGGUUAGUGCAAUGGCAUAAGCCAGCUUGACUGCGAGCGUGACGGCGCGAGCAGGUGCGAAAGCAGGUCAUAGUGAUCCGGUGGUUCUGAAUGGAAGGGCCAUCGCUCAACGGAUAAAAGGUACUCCGGGGAUAACAGGCUGAUACCGCCCAAGAGUUCAUAUCGACGGCGG
rnacentral:rRNA from 1 species